rnacentral:rRNA from 1 species
AUUGAACGCUGGCGGCAUGCCUUACACAUGCAAGUCGAACGGCAGCACGGGAGCAAUCCUGGUGGCGAGUGGCGAACGGGUGAGUAAUAUAUCGGAACGUGCCCAGUCGUGGGGAUAACGUAGCGAAAGCUACGCUAAUACCGCAUACGAUCUAUGGAUGAAAGCGGGGGAUCGCAAGACCUCGCGCGAUUGGAGCGGCCGAUAUCAGAUUAGGUAGUUGGUGAGGUAAAGGCUCGCCAAGCCGACGAUCUGUAGCUGGUCUGAGAGGACGACCAGCCACACUGGGACUGAGACACGGCCCAGACUCCUACGGAGGCAGCAGUGGGGAAUUUUUGGACAAUGGGCGCAAGCCUGAUCCAGCAAUGCCGCGUGCAGGAUGAAGGCCUCGGUUGUAAC